UGUCCGGAUUUACUGGGUGUAAAGGGUGCGUAGGCGGCUUUGCAAGUCAGAUGUGAAAUCUAUGGGCUCAACCCAUAAACUGCAUUUGAAACUGUAGAGCUUGAGUGAAGUAGAGGCAGGCGGAAUUCCCCGUGUAGCGGUGAAAUGCGUAGAGAUGGGGAGGAACACCAGUGGCGAAGGCGGCCUGCUGGGCUUUAACUGACGCUGAGGCACGAAAGCGUGGGUAGCAAACAGGAUUAGAUACCCUGGUAGUCCACGCUGUAAACGAUGAUUACUAGGUG
rnacentral:rRNA from 1 species